rnacentral:rRNA from 2 species
AGGUUAAGUUAACAAGGGCGCAUGGUGAAUGCCUUGGCACUAGGAGCCGAUGAAGGACGGGACUAACACUGAUAUGCUUCGGGGAGCUGUACGUAAGCUAUGAUCCGGAGAUUUCCGAAUGGGGCAACCCAGCAGUUUUAAUCAACUGUUACCACUAGAUGAAUUCAUAGUCUAGUUGGAGGUAAACGCUGUGAACUGAAACAUCUCAUUAGCAGCAGGAAUAUAAAGAAAUUUCGAUUCCCUAAGUAGCGGCGAGCGAACGGGGAACAGCCCAAACCAAAGUGCUUGCACUUUGGGGUUGUAGGACUGAACAUUUGAGUUACCAAAGAACUUGAUAGUCGAAGGAUUUGGGAAAAUCCGCCAUAGAUGGUGAUAGCCCAGUAGAUUAAAUCAAAUUCUCUCAGUUCAGGAUCCUGAGUACGGCGGAACACGUGAAAUUCCGUCGGAAUCCGGGAGGACCAUCUCCCAAGGCUAAAUACUACCUAGUGACCGAUAGUGAACCAGUACCGUGAGGGAAAGGUGAAAAGCACCCCGGGAGGGGAGUGAAAUAGUUCCUGAAACCAUGUGCCUACAAUAAGUCAGAGCGCGUUAAUGCGUGAUGGCGUGCCUUUUGUAGAAUGAACCGGCGAGUUAUGAUCCCGUGCAAGGUUAAGACUAAAAAGUCGGAGCCGUAGCGAAAGCGAGUCUGAAAUGGGCGUUUUGAGUACGAGGUUAUAGACCCGAAACCAGGUGACCUAUCCAUGUCCAGGUUGAAGGUGCGGUAAAACGCACUGGAGGACCGAACCCGUGUAAGUUGAAAAUUGCUGGGAUGAGGUGUGGAUAGCGGUGAAAUUCCAAACGAACUUGGAGAUAGCUGGUUCUCUCCGAAAUAGCUUUAGGGCUAGCCUCGGAAUUAGGAUCAUGGAGGUAGAGCACUAUUUGGACUAGGGGCCCGUCUUGGGUUACUGAAUUCAGAUAAACUCCGAAUGCCAUUGAUUCAUAUCCGGGAGUCAGACGAUGAGUGAUAAGAUCCACCGUCGAAAGGGGAACAGCCCAGACCAUCAGUUAAGGUCCCUAAAUGUAUGCUAAGUGGAAAAGGAUGUGGAGUUGCAUAGACAACUAGGAUGUUGGCUCAGAAGCAGCCACCAUUUAAAGAGUGCGUAAUAGCUCACUAGUCGAGUGAUCCUGCGCCGAAAAUGUACCGGGGCUAAGCAUACUACCGAAACCAUGGAUGCGACCAUUAGGUCGCGUGAUAGGAGAGCGUUCUAAGGGCGGUGAAGCAAGAUCGUGAGGACUUGUGGAGCGCUUAGAAGUGAGAAUGCCGGUAUGAGUAGCGAAAGAUAGGUGAGAAUCCUAUCCACCGAAUGACUAAGGUUUCCUGGGGAAGGCUCGUCCUCCCAGGGUUAGUCGGGACCUAAGUCGAGGCCGAGAGGCGUAGACGAUGGAUAACAGGUUGAGAUUCCUGUACUAGUUAAGUGCGUUUGAGCAAUGGAGGGACGCAGGAGGCUAAGAUGUGCAUUCUGUUGGAUUAGAAUGUCCAAGCAGUAAGUCUUGUGAAGAGUCAAAUGCUUUUCACUUUAAGGACAAGCUGUGAUGGGGAGCGAAAUUUAGUAGCGAAGCGUCUGAUGUCACACUGCCGAGAAAAGCUUCUAGUGAGUACUUAACUACCCGUACCGCAAACCGACACAGGUAGUCGAGGAGAGAAUCCUAAGGUGAGCGAGUGAACUCUCGUUAAGGAACUCGGCAAAAUGACCCCGUAACUUCGGGAGAAGGGGUGCUGAUCGCAAGAUCAGCCGCAGUGAAUAGGCCCAGGCGACUGUUUAUCAAAAACACAGGUCUCUGCAAAAUCGUAAGAUGACGUAUAGGGGCUGACGCCUGCCCGGUGCUGGAAGGUUAAAAGGAUGGGUUAGCUUCGGCGAAGCUCAGAAUUGAAGCCCCAGUAAACGGCGGCCGUAACUAUAACGGUCCUAAGGUAGCGAAAUUCCUUGUCGGGUAAGUUCCGACCCGCACGAAAGGCGUAACGAUCUGGGCACUGUCUCAACGAGAGACUCGGUGAAAUUAUAUUGUCCGUGAAGAUGCGGACUACCCGCGACAGGACGGAAAGACCCCAUGGAGCUUUACUGUAGCUUGAUAUUGAGUGUUUGUACAGCUUGUACAGGAUAGGUAGGAGCCAUAGAAACCGGAACGCUAGUUUCGGUGGAGGCGUUGGUGGGAUACUACCCUCGCUGUAUGACCACUCUAACCCGCACCACUAAUCGUGGUGGGAGACAGUGUCAGGUGGGCAGUUUGACUGGGGCGGUCGCCUCCUAAAAAGUAACGGAGGCGCCCAAAGGUUCCCUCAGAAUGGUUGGAAAUCAUUCGCAGAGUGUAAAGGCACAAGGGAGCUUGACUGCGAGACAGACAGGUCGAGCAGGGACGAAAGUCGGGCUUAGUGAUCCGGUGGUACCGUAUGGAAGGGCCAUCGCUCAACGGAUAAAAGCUACCCUGGGGAUAACAGGCUUAUCUCCCCCAAGAGUCCACAUCGACGGGGAGGUUUGGCACCUCGAUGUCGGCUCAUCGCAUCCUGGGGCUGUAGUCGGUCCCAAGGGUUGGGCUGUUCGCCCAUUAAAGCGGUACGCGAGCUGGGUUCAGAACGUCGUGAGACAGUUCGGUCCCUAUCCGUCGCGGGCGUAGGAAAUUUGAGAGGACCUGUCCUUAGUACGAGAGGACCGGGAUGGACAUACCUCUGGUGUACCAGUUGUGCCGCCAGGCGCAUCGCUGGGUAGCUACGUAUGGAUGUGAUAAACGCUGAAAGCAUCUAAGUGUGAAACACACCUCGAGAUGAGAUUUCCCAUUCCUUUAUGGAAGUAAGACCCCUGAAAGAUGAUCAGGUAGAUAGGUUAGAAGUGGCAGUGCGGUGACGCAUGAAGCGGACUAAUACUAAUCGGUCGAGGACUUAACCAAG